rnacentral:rRNA from 1 species
AUUGAACGCUGGCGGCAUGCCUUACACAUGCAAGUCGAACGGUAACAGGUCUUCGGAUGCUGACGAGUGGCGAACGGGUGAGUAAUACAUCGGAACGUGCCCGAUCGUGGGGGAUAACGAAGCGAAAGCUUUGCUAACACCGCAUACGAUCUACGGAUGAAAGCAGGGGACCGCAAGGCCUUGCGCGAACGGAGCGGCCGAUGGCAGAUUAGGUAGUUGGUGGGAUAAAAGCUUACCAAGCCGACGAUCUGUAGCUGGUAUGAGAGGACGACCAGCCACACUGGGACUGAGGCACGGCCCAGACUCCUACGGGAGGCAGCAGUGGGGAAUUUUGGACAAUGGGCGAAAGCCUGAUCCAGCCAUGCCGCGUGCAGGAUGAAGGCCUUCGGGUUGUAAACUGCUUUUGUACGGAACGAAAAGACUCUGGUUAAUACCUGGGGUCCAUGACGGUACCGUAAGAAUAAGCACCGGCUAACUACGUGCCAGCCGCCGCCGUAAUAC